rnacentral:rRNA from 1 species
GAUGAACGCUGGCGGCGUGCUUAACACAUGCAAGUCGAACGGAAAGGCCCCUGCUUGCAGGGGUACUCGAGUGGCGAACGGGUGAGUAACACGUGGGUGAUCUACCCUGCACUUCGGGAUAAGCCUGGGAAACUGGGUCUAAUACCGGAUAUUCACGCCCCUUUGAUGUGGGGUGUGGAAAGAUUUAUCGGUGUGGGAUGAGCUUGCGGCCUAUCAGCUUGUUGGUGGGGUAAUGGCCUACCAAGGCGUCGACGGGUAGCCGGCCUGAGAGGGUGUACGGCCACAUUGGGACUGAGAUACGGCCCAG